AUCUUGCUUGGUCUCAAAGAACCUCCUUCUUUUACACUCUUGAAUGACACCAGCUCUCAUGACUUCUCUUCUAAACCUAUUCAAGAGCCUCUCUUCAGGUUCGUUCUCAUCAACAACCACUUGCACAUUGUAUGCAGAUUUAAAGAAAAGGGUAUUUGCGUAUGCAAGAGAAGGGCAUAUAACUGAGGCCAAUUCAGUUGAAGAAGAAGAAGCAGAUGAUGAGUCGUGACUCUCUUGAGGUUGUGCAGGAGCCACCUUUGAGAACGAAGCAUUCUUGGGUUUUUGCUGAGAAGAAAGAGAGAGGUGGUUGGGUUGUGCUAGUGGUGUUGAAUUUUUUGGAAGUGCGUUUGAAGGUAAGAUGAAGGAGAAGAAAUUUGAGAGUGGGGUAGCCAUUGAUGAUGAUUACUGCUACUGGUGAUGCUCUGCUUGUGGAUUUGUGGAUUUUGUUCGGCGUUUUUAUUCGUUUUGGUCCUAUCCUUUUGUUUGUGCUUGGGUUAAUGGGUUGACCCGGUUGUUUGUUGGGCCUUUUGUUUCAUGCAAAGUGAAGAUUUGGGCUUGGAGCUAAUAACAACACAACAAAUGGGGAUUUAUUUCAUCGUAUGGUGAGUAACUGCACAUUUGUGAAUGAUAUUGAAGCUGUAAAUUAAUUAAACUGAAAUAUUCCAUCUAACAUUGAGCACCGGAUGACGUCUAAUAAAUCCAUAUCUCUAUUAAUGGUGUUGUUUUAGUAAAUUAAAGUUUGGAAAAAAAAAAGUAUAAAAUAUAUACUUAGAUAGUCUUUAAUUCAGAAAUGAUAACACAUAUCCUAUUUAGUUCAAUUUUGCCUUUUAACUAUAGUGGUCAAACUAUAAUUCUAUCUGUACGUAGUUGUUAAAAAACAGUUAAGUGUGACUAAUUCUAAAACAUAGAUUCUAGAGAAUUUAUGUGUAUAUUUGAAUAAAUUUUAAGAUUGUAGGUGGUUUUUUAAGCAAAUAUCCACGGACCACCUAAUAUUUUACACUUUGAAAAAAAUUCACCAAUUUUUUUUCUUUUUUUGGUAGCUGUCCACCUGAAGUUUACAAAAUGUAUCACUAUUUCCACUUUUUUUUCAACAAGAUAAGAUGAUUUAACAUAAUAUUGAUAAAAUAACUAUUUUGUCCCUGAAUAUAAAAGGACUAUUAAUUAGUUGUUAUUUUAGGUGCUUUUGGAAUGAAUUGUUAUUCUAGAUUUAUGGAAACAAACUGUAAAUUCUAAUUUCUCCAUAAUUAGUUUUAUGUCGUUAUUUUUUAUUGAUAGAAACAAAUUUAAUAUUCAAAGUUUUUGAUAACUGGUUUUCUGGUUAUUUUGAAUAUAUUUUGGAUAAUUAAGAUUGUUUACAUUGGUGAUUUAUUGUUGAUAUUGUUUGAGGGUGCACUAUGAAAUGACCAGCCAUACCCUGGACGAGGAGUCAGCCUCCUUAUAAGCGAGCAGACAAGAGAAG
rnacentral:lncRNA from 1 species